UACGUAGGGUGCGAGCGUUGUCCGGAAUUAUUGGGCGUAAAGAGCUUGUAGGUGGUUUGUCGCGUCUGCUGUGAAAAUCCGAGGCUCAACCUCGGACUUGCAGUGGGUACGGGCAGACUAGAGUGUGGUAGGGGAGACUGGAAUUCCUGGUGUAGCGGUGGAAUGCGCAGAUAUCAGGAGGAACACCGAUGGCGAAGGCAGGUCUCUGGGCCAUUACUGACACUGGAGGAGCGAAAAGCGUGGGGAGCGAACAGG
rnacentral:rRNA from 1 species